UACAUAGGUCCCGAGCGUUGUUCGGAUUCACUGGGCGUAAAGGGUGCGUAGGUGGUGAGGUAAGUCGGAUGUGAAAUCUCCGGGCUCAACCCGGAAAUGGCAUUGGAAACUACCUUGCUGGAGGAUUUGAGGGGGGAUUGGAAUACUUGGUGUAGCAGUGAAAUGCGUAGAUAUCAAGUGGAACACCAGUGGCGAAGGCGAAUCCCUGGAAAAUACCUGACACUGAGGCACGAAAGCUAGGGGAGCAAACAGG
rnacentral:rRNA from 1 species